rfam:Gammaproteobacteria bacterium RIFOXYD12_FTLL_61_37 rifoxyd3_full_scaffold_677, whole genome shotgun sequence.
GAAGCGCCCGGCCAAUUGGCCGGGCGAGGAUUGAAAC